rnacentral:ncRNA from 1 species
AUCUGAUAAAGGCAAACCGUGUGAAAAUGCGGGGCGCAAAGCUACUGGCCUACCUUCCGUUCUCGGACGGAAUAAGGCUGCCGGGCUGCCGGG